rnacentral:rRNA from 1 species
GGCGCACGGGUUGAGUANCGCGNUGGGUAAUCUGCCCCUCGGUCAGGAAUAACCCGCCGAAAGGCGGGCUAAUACCCGAUAACACUGACGCUCUGCGGAGUGUCUUUCAAAGAAGGCCUCUGUUUACAAGCUUUCGCCGGAGGAUGAGCCCGCGUACCAUUAGCUAGUUGGCAGGGUAAUGGCCUACCAAGGCAACGAUGGUUAGCUGGUCCGAGAGGAUGGCCAGCCACACUGGAACUGAGACACGGUCCANACUCCUACGGGAGGCAGCAGUGAGGAAUCUUGCGCAAUGGGGGAAACCCUGACNCANCANCNCCGCGUGAGUGAGGAAGGCUUUCGGGUCNUAAAGCUCUGUCA